GUGGGUGACUACGAAACGGUAACUUUUUGUCUAUCAGAAUCGAUCAUGUAAGGCGCUCCAAAGCAAGAAGAAUCUGUGUCGACCUACAAUUUCAAAGCUCUCCCACUUAAUAAAAAGGUACGUCAGGAAAACUUGAGGAAGAUUUUAUAUAAGGAGUUCUGGGAACUGAACAACUAUUUGAGUGUUCCAAAACACCAAGAGAGAAACCAUAGUGCCAAUGGUAAUCCGGACAUGUAUAGACUCUUAAAUUGUUAUUGUUAUCUUUGAAAUUCCAAUAAUGACACAUGAAUUGUUUUGCCUCUGCUACAUGAGUUCAAUUGUCAUACUGUAAAGAGAACUCAUCAUAAUCCGCCAAUUGAUCUGUUUAAUAAGGUUGAUAUUUUUUACAUCUUUAUGUUGAUUGUUUCUAUGAUGUACUUGUCUGGUGUUUCUUUUUUCACACAAUAUACUAUAAGAUUGUCUACUUUUGUGUUGUAGCUCAUCAAAUAGUCAUUAAUAUUUCUUGAUUUUUUUUAUCAGUUAUCUCUUCCAUCUGAGCCCCAACCAGCUACUGCCAAAGUGCAGUUGAAAGCACAAGACUAUCCCGCAUUCCGUCAAAGGUUCCAGUUUUUUGUUCUGAUCUUAUUUAGUUAAACAUAGUCUUGAUUUUUUAUUUUGUACGUCUUUUUGGUACAAAGAUUCUUAAGAAAAUAGAUGGACUUAUUUCCAUCAAAACCGUGAUGAAAGCAAUAAUUAUAUAGUGGUUGCUAGCUUCUUCCAUCUCCAUUCAUGUUUCUAAUAGGCUUUUCAAGCAGCAAUAUUUUCAGCAUUAUAAUGGGUAUAAACUUUAAUCCUGUAAAAUUCUUCUUUUAAGAUAGUACACAUGGAGAAGAGAAAACUAGCUGAUCUCAAAAGCACAGGCAAUUCAGUUUGGUGGCGAUGUGGGAUAACUGUUGUUUGCCAAGUCUCUAACACCAUCAAUAAUCGACACAUCUCUGAAGCUCAGUGAUGCAUGGUUCCAAAUUUGCUGGAUAAUGGAUUACCUUUCUCCACUUACGCUUUUGUUUGCCAAGGAGAUUGGGCAUUUUUGGGGACAAAAACAGCACAUAUCUUGAUGUAAAUGAAGACUUUUUUGCUAAAUUCAAAAGGCAGACUCAGGCGAUGUAGCAAUACCAGUACAUAACAAUGUCUGAAAUUAUCUAGUGUAUUCAAAUAUAUAGCAGCUUUAUAACUUAUAUUUUAGAAUCAAUUUUCUUCAGAUGUAAACCACCAGAUACAAACAAUGUUAAUCACCAUGUCAUCAUGUGAAUAAAAAUGAGGAAGUGUUGUUUAGUGG